ensembl:lncRNA
GGGAAGUGUGUCUGGAGGUGGGCUGUCAUAUAACUCCCUAUCUUGUCUCUUAAACCAGUUCCUUCUGCGUUCUCUCUCUUUGCUGAUACUGUUUGCAACCUCCAAGAGCCAGCUAGACCAGAGACUUUGGAAUCCUCUCCCAUCCCCCUUCCUCAUCCAUUCACACAUGGUACACAGUACUUUAAAAGGAAGACAAAUUUAUAAGACCUUUGACUGACAACCUACAAAAGUAAAAGCUGAGUAAGGAUACCAACACUUAAAUCCAAGGAUAAUGGAAAAUAAUAUCUGACUGGAAUAAAUGGAUCACAUACAGAAGAUAUGCUACUGUAAUUACCUCUACUUCUUGAAGUUCUGAGACUAUCAUCCAUCACUUUCAGAAAAAAAGAAAAAUGUGGUAAGUAGCACUUACUUUGUUUGUGUAGUGUGAUUUCUAUCAUUAACUGUAAAAGCUCAAUUUCUG